UACGUAGGGUGCAAGCGUUAAUCGGAAUUACUGGGCGUAAAGCGUGCGCAGGCGGUUGUGCAAGACAGAUGUGAAAUCCCCGGGCUUAACCUGGGGAUUGCAUUUGUGACUGCACGGCUAGAGUGUGUCAGAGGGGGGUAGAAUUCCACGUGUAGCAGUGAAAUGCGUAGAUAUGUGGAGGAAUACCGAUGGCGAAGGCAGCCCCCCUGGGAUAACACUGACGCCUC
rnacentral:rRNA from 1 species